CUUUAACCCCUUCCGUACCGGGACGUACCUGGUACUUCCUGGUUAACAGUCACCGGUAGACCGGGACGUACCAGGCAGACCUCCAGCAGCAAAAACGAACCCCCAGAAGUCCUCUGAUCAGCCCUGUAGGGCUGAUCAGAGAGACUCCUCUCCCACAAUCUCCAGUCCACUGGAGAUUGUGUCCCAGCUGCCAGAGGCAGCUUCAGGGACAGGGAGACAGGGCUCUUUGGUCUCCACAUUAGUGUGGAGACCAGCCCCCCCACCCCCACCCCCCAUAGUUAACCCCUACCCCCCCUCUUCCUCAAUUAACCCCUUCAAUGCUGCGAUUGUUUAUGACCCCCAUCGCAGCAUUGCAGGGGUUAAUAUUAGUCCCCACAAGCUUGUGGGGACUAAAUAUCAAUCAAUGCUGUGCUUCAAUGGAGCAUCAGCAUUGAAAGAGUUAAAAAAAAAAAAAAUUAAAAAAUAAU